UACGGAGGGUGCAAGCGUUGCUCGGAAUUAUUGGGCGUAAAGGGUAGGUAGGUGGUCUCAUUUGUCUGGGGUGAAAUCCUUGAGCUUAACUCGAGAAGUGCCCCAGAAACGGUGAGACUAGAGUCCUGGAGAGGGUCGUGGAAUUCCCGGUGUAGCGGUGAAAUGCGUAGAGAUCGGGAGGAACACCAGAGGCGAAGGCGGCGACCUGGACAGGCACUGACACUCAACUACGAAAGCGUGGGGAGCAAACAGG
rnacentral:rRNA from 1 species